GGAGAGAUGGCAGAGUCCGGUUGAAUGCACCUGACUUGAAAUCAGGCGUGGGUUCAUACCCACCGGGGGUUCGAAUCCCUCUCUCUCCG
rnacentral:tRNA from 1 species